rnacentral:rRNA from 1 species
CGAACGGGUGAGUAACGCGUGAGGAACCUGCCUCAAAGAGGGGGACAACAGUUGGAAACGGCUGCUAAUACCGCAUAAGCCCACGGCUCGGCACCGAGCAGAGGGAAAAGGGGCAAUCCGCUUUGAGAUGGCCUCGCGUCCGAUUAGCUAGUUGGUGAGGUAAUGGCCCACCAAGGCAACGAUCGGUAGCCGGACUGAGAGGUUGAACGGCCACAUUGGGACUGAGACACGGCCCAG